rnacentral:rRNA from 1 species
UACGUAGGGUGCGAGCGUUGUCCGGAAUUAUUGGGCGUAAAGAGCUCGUAGGCGGUCUGUCGCGUCGGUCGUGAAAACUUGGGGCUUAACCCUGAGCUUGCGGUCGAUACGGGCAUGACUGGAGUUCGGUAGGGGAGACUGGAAUUCCUGGUGUAGCGGUGAAAUGCGUAGAUAUCGAUCGGAACACCCAUGGCGAAGGCAGCUCGCUGGCCUGCAACUGACGCUGAGGCGCGAAAGCGUGGGGAGCGAACAGG